rnacentral:tRNA from 1 species
UGGAGUAGUUGGUAGCUCGUCGGGCUCAUAACCCGAAAAUCAUAGGUUCGAGUCCUGU